rnacentral:rRNA from 1 species
UACGGGGGGAGCAAGCGUUUGUUCGGAUUUACUGGGCGUAAAGAGCUCGUAGGCGGUCUGUCGCGUCUGCUGUGAAAACUCAGGGCUUAACCCUGAGCUUGCAGUGGGUACGGGCAGACUAGAGUGCGGUAGGGGAGACUGGAAUUCCUGGUGUAGCGGUGAAAUGCGCAGAUAUCAGGAGGAACACCGAUGGCGAAGGCAGGUCUCUGGGCCAUAACUGACGCUGAGAAGCGAAAGCAUGGGGAGCGAACAGG